ACACCCGGCACGCGAUCACCCCGGGCUUCACCCUGAUUGGCUCACUCUGCAGACGGUGGGGCGGAGCCUUAUGCAGUUUUGUUUCCGUAGUGCCUGGGGGCGGGGAACGCGGGGUUGCGGAUUACUUGGCCGCUUCCUACGAAGACUAGAGAGGGUCAAACAUAGCUGAACGCAGUUGUGACAACCUGUUUUUCCUAUUGAGGUGGCGUAAAUAUACCCCAUCUCCUGUACCAGGACGAGGAAAGUGACCAUUGUCUAGAAAUGGAAGGCUGGCAUUAAGUUUAAUUCACAGGCCUCAGUACUGAAAUAAGUGGAUAGAGCAAAAGCUUAAGAAAACACCUUUUCAUCAUUGUCAUGGAUUCAUUAAGAAAGCCAUGACUGGGGGCGCCUUGGUGGCUUGGUCGGUUGAGCGUCCGACUUCGGCUCAGGUCAUGAUCUCACGGUCCAUGAGUUUGAGCCCCGCGUUGGGCUCUGUGCUGACAGCUCAGAGCCUGGAGCCUGUUUCGGAUUCUGUGUCUCCCUCUCUCUCUGCCCCUCCCCUGUUCAUGCUCUGUUUCUCUCUGUCUCAAAAAUAAAUAAACGUUAAGAAAAAAAAAAAAAAAAAAAAGAAAGCCAUGACUGGAUUCAACCACUGGCUCACAUUUUCUGCUAUGAGGAAAGCAGUAAAGGUUUACUCCUUUGGAAUGGGCACCUAGCCUUGCUAGUAUAGAUAGUAGACAUCUCUUAUGUAUCUUCACUGGGAACCAAGUGACCUGAGCAGUUUUGAGGUUCUGGGUCAUUUGGAUAACUGAAAACUCCCACCUUCAGAGAGAGGGUAGGAGCAGAUUCGGUAACCCAUGGUAAUACUUGCUACUACAUAUUUGGACAAGAAUUCGGGAUAGUGAAAACCCCUUCAGCUUGUUUCUUGGUGUACUGAAAAUUUCCUCCAUCCCAAUAAAAGAGAAUCAGAAAGACAUCUGCCCCAGUAAGGGGAUCAUCCCUAAUUUUUUGAUACCUUAAAAUAGCUAGGGUUCAGUAUUCAGACCCUCAGUCUAUAGCUGUCUCCCUCUGUGUCAAGAUACCUCCAAUCACCAUUAUGGUUAUCUAUUUUCUUCUGCCACCACUAGUCAUUGUAAUUUUUCCUAAUAGAUUGAUUUUCCUGUACUGACCACACUCCUGAUGCCUUCAAUUCAUUGUCACAAAUUACCUCAGACAGAGUGUUACCGAAUUGUGAUGAACAGAAUCAAUUUACAAAUAGACUUUUGCAUGAGUUGUGUGUCUUUAGAAUUCUAACUAACUGAAACCUGCAUUAGAUUAUUUAAAUUUUCAUGUUGGUUAGUUGUUUGUAGGAUAUUGGGAUCAUUGUUCCUUCCCACAAAAGUUUCUUUAAAGUCAGCUUGAAUGAACAGUAAUUGAGCACAAAAGCCUGACCUUGCCAACACUGCAUUGCAUGCUCAGUCAAAUUAGUUCAGACCGUUAUGGUUUAUAUUAACUAUAUUUGUCAUUUGUAAUUAACAUGGAUUAAGAUUUGGAGGAGAGUUCUGGUACUUGUUUUUGGUUGAUUAUGCUAAUGGGAAUUUCAGACCAUAUUAACAUUUUCUGUUGCUUCUUAAGUUUGUUUUGUGUUUUCUUAACAGAAUAAUUAUAUCUUUGAUCUGAUUUUGGAAUAGUCUGGCUAAUGUUUGCUCAGGAAGAAAAUAAAACCAUCCCUUACCCAAUUUUCUGCUUCUCCCUUUGACAAGUAUAUAAAAGGUUGAUCGGGAGAGAAGCAAACCAUACAUUUGAGUUUUGGCUCAUUGUAUAAGAUGAUGAUAAUGAUCCAAAUUUAGAAUGUCAUGAAAUCUCUUAAGGUUUUGUUUUAAAAUGCACUUACCAUGUCUUGGAUAUGAAACAGGUGGUUCUGCAGACAGGCCUGAGUUAUCGCCAAUGAACAGACUAUUGUGUGCAAAGUAGCUUUUCAUUAUCAUUGUUAACCCUCAUUAAAAUCACAAACUUUAGCUUUUCACAGCUUUGUUUUCUUUUAAAGAGAUGAUGUUCAAGGUUUUUGAAAUGUCUACGUUUUCUUGAAAUGUUUUCAUUUAAAAUAAAACUUCUUUUGUGGUUAUACACAUGCAUCAGUAUUAUGAGAGAGGAGGGUUUGAAGCUGAGCAGUAAUAUUAGUUUUAAUAUUUUGUUGUCUUUUUCAAAAGUCUUUCAUAAAACUUUCAAAAAUUAAUAAAUUCAUAAAAAUUUCAUUUGGGCAUCUGUAUUUGCAUUUUCUCUUCCUUUAAACAAUCCCUGUGUCUUUUUCCUGCUGGCAAUAUGCAUCAUCCUCAUUACCACUAAACAUUUAUGGAACAAUAUACCAUAUGUAAGAAAACAGCAAUUUCUGUAGCAAAUGCCUGCACAUUUUUGCUCUUUAAACACAAACUCCCAUGGACUCAUUGCAAGGUAAUAUCAGGGUGAGGAAGGCAUUUGAGAUUUCUUUUGGGCCUCAACCUACUUCUCAUUAGGCCUCCUUUAAUUUGGUUUUGGCCUUAGACAUAGCUUAGUUUAAUUGUUCAUAGCUGGUUUGCUUCACUUUCCCCCUCAAAGUUUAACUCUUCUAGUCCUCCCAGUAUUUUCUUAUGGAAAAUUUUAGAUUGAGUUUUUAUCUCUUGUAAAGUUUGGUUGCUUUGAUGGUUAAGAAGGUACACUUCAGUCAAACCUUGAAUUCUAUGUACAUUCAAAUUGUUGCUCUUUUUGAAUUUUGAAAUGGUACUUAGAGUAUUAGGGUUCAGUUUCAACAAUAAUUUGAGUGUUGGGUAUAGGCACUAUGCUAUUUUCACAUUUGCUGUUUUACUUAAUUAUAAAGAAUAAGGGAUCAUGGCUGUAAAGACUUGACCUAAUAUAAAUUCAUGAGCAAUGUGUUAUGGGGGAAUUCAGACCAUAUGGAAGACUAUCUUCUCUUAAGAAAUUUGAAAGGAGGUAUACAAAUAUAGUGAGAUUACAUUUUGAGAUACAUAUUCUUCCUUUCCAAUAUUUUCUGCUAUCCUACCACUCUCCCACACUCAGGAGGUGACCUGAGUGUAGUAUUCUCACUGCCCCUAAGCAAGGUUGUUACAAGAAAGAAAAUAAUAAAUACUUGGUUUAUGACUUUAAAAAUAGAUGCAGACAAUACUUUGAAAGAAAUUAUUUGUGAGAUACAGGGCAGAAAGUUCUGCACAUCAUACAAAACAGAUUAGGAAGAAUACAGGAUGAUGUAAUUCAUUUUUCCAGUUUUUAAAAAGAUGUCCGAGAGAGAGAGGUUAAACACAGGUGUGAGAGGGGCAGCAAUAGGAACUUCAUGGAAGCUUGAAUAUCUGUGAGAAGAGAGGACUGCAGCCAUAUGAGCUAUUUUCAGUCCCCUAAAGAGCCAUUCUGGCAUAUGCCUUGAUGAUUUUGUUCAUCAUCAUUUUUUGCCUAUAUUUCUUCUGACUGAUGUGUGUCUUUUGCUAUACAACUCCAGUGUCAUUUCUGUUGGGAGGUCUUCCUAAGCGCCCCCACUCCACUGAAUUUCUAUAAGUGGUAAAGGAUUAACUCACUAGUAAAGGAUUAAUUGGUUGGAUUAAUUUAUCCAAACCCUGCACAUUCUGAGGAUCUUCAGGACUGGUUUUGACCACCUCCUGGGAGGUAACCUCUGAUGCCUUGAAUAUUCUUCCUGAUAACUGUGUCUUUGUAUACCUGAGACUUUGUAUCACACUAGAUAGCUUAUGUAUGCUAACCCUGUUGGUGGCAAAUGCUUGUUUUUUUCUGCCUUGGGCUUUGGGUCAUCUGCAUCAGUUUGACCUUUGGGUGGGGAGCUGGCGACUGUCAUAUAAGACUUCAUUGCUUCAUGCCUAUGUGAUUGUCCCCAAUAAAAACCCUGUAACAAAGAUCUCAGGUGGGUUUCCUUAGUUGGCAACACUUUGCAUGUGUUGUUAUGCAUCAUUGCUGGGAGAACUAAGCACUGUCCAUGAGACUCCUCAGGGACAGAACAAUUGGAAGAUUGAAUAUGGUUUCUCUUGGACUCUGCCCUAUGCCCUUUUCCCUUGCUUAUUUUAAUCUGUAUCAUUUUGCUGUAAUAAACCAUAACUGUGAAUAUAAUAGCUUCUCUGUAUACUGUGAAUCUUUCUAGUGAAUCCUAGAACCUGAGGGUGGUCUUCAUACUCUACAAUAAUUUUUGGUUAUAACACAUUAUACUUCUAUUCAUUCAUUAGUUUAUUUAUCCAUCCAUGCAUUUGACUAAUUAACUACUGAAUGCCCACUAUGUACCAGAUAUUGCUAAGCCCUGAAGUAUGAGAAUGAGCAUGAUAGGCAAAAUUCCUACCUUUGUGAAUUUAUAGUCUGGUGGGACAAAGGGAGAAGGAAACAGAUAAAACAAUUUGGUAUGGUAGCAGCUAUUAUGGACAUAGUACAAGAUGACAUGAAGAACAGAGACCUCAGACUCCAACACAAUCUGGUGGGAAGGGGUGUCAGGUA